GCCGGCACCGCCCGCGGGCCAGCAGGGUGCGUUGCGCCGCGCGGUGUCUGAGGCGGCGGCUCCGCUCCGCGCCCGCCGCGCCCGCUCCCGCCGGUACCGGAGAUUUGUCCUUUCCACCCUGCAUUGAGUGCCAGAGGAGCUGGGGACACCUGCCCAGGAGCAGUCGAGGAAUCCAGAAAAAAAAAUCAAGGAAUCCACCCAGAGAACGAGGCUGCUCUGCAGUAGGAAGGUGAGCAGAGACCUCUUGAUUUGUCUCAUUAUUGAUUAAUUUCCACUUAAUUGGUUCAUU
rnacentral:lncRNA from 1 species